rnacentral:rRNA from 1 species
UACGGAGGGUGCGAGCGUUAUUCGGAAUUACUGGGCGUAAAGCGCGUGUAGGCGGGGAUGCAAGUCUGAUGUGAAAGCCCCGGGCUUAACCUGGGAAGUGCAUUGGAAACUGCAUUUCUUGAGUGCUGGAGAGGAAGGGGGAAUUCCAGGUGUAGAGGUGAAAUUCGUAGAGAUCGGGAGGAAUACCAGUGGCGAAGGCGCCCUGCUGGACGGCAACUGACGCUGAGACGCGAAAGCGUGGGGAGCAAACAGG